rfam:Eimeria acervulina, Houghton, WGS project CBTS01000000 data, contig: Eah_contig86_3
GCAGCACGAGUGAGGGGGACCCCCUAAACCCGCACAGGGCGGGGGUCCCCGGAAAAGUUGCUGCUGC